GACAGAGGGUGCAAACGUUGUUCGGAAUUACUGGGCGUAAAGCGCGUGUAGGCGGCUCGGCAAGUCGGGUGUGAAAGCCCUGGGCUUAACCUAGGAAGUGCACUCGAAACUGCCAAGCUUGAGUUCUGGAGAGGAAGGCGGAAUUCUCGGUGUAGAGGUGAAAUUCGUAGAUAUCGAGAGGAACACCGGUGGCGAAGGCGGCCUUCUGGACAGCAACUGACGCUGAGACGCGAAAGCGUGGGGAGCAAACGGG
rnacentral:rRNA from 1 species